GACGAACGCUGGCGGCGUGCUUAACACAUGCAAGUCGAACGGGAUUAGGGGCUUGCUCCUAAUCUAGUGGCGCACGGGUGAGUAACGCGUAGAUAAUCUGCCUGAUGAUCCGGGAUAACACUUCGAAAGAGGUGCUAAUACCGGAUAUGCCCACGGGUUCUUUGGAAUCUGCGGGAAAAGGGGGGGACCUUCGGGCCUUCUGUCAUCAGAUGAGUCUGCGUACCAUUAGCUAGUUGGUAGGGUAAAGGCCUACCAAGGCGACGAUGGUUAGCUGGUCUGCGAGGACGAUCAGCCACACUGGAACGGAGACACGGUCCAGAGUCCUACGGGAGGCAGCAGUGGGGAAUUUUGCGCAAGGGGCGAAAGCCUGACGCAGCAACGCCGCGUGAGUGAUGAAGGCUUUCGGGUCGUAAAGCUCUGUCAAUGGGAAAGAAGUGUACGAGGGCUAAUAUCCUUUGUACUUGACGGUACCCAUAAAGGAAGCACCGGCUAACUCCGUGCCAGCCGCCGCCGUAA
rnacentral:rRNA from 1 species